rnacentral:rRNA from 1 species
UAGCGCCUACGGGACGCAGCAGUGGGGGAUAUUGCACAAUGGGGGAAACCCUGAUGCAGCGACGCCGCGUGAGUGAAGAAGUAUUUCGGUAUGUAAAGCUCUAUCAGCAGGGAAGAAAAAAGACGGUACCUGACUAAGAAGCCCCGGCUAAAUACGUGCCAGCAGCCGCGGUAAUACGUAUGGUGCAAGCGUUAUCCGGAUUUACUGGGUGUAAAGGGAGCGCAGGCGGCGCGUUAAGCCUGGUGUGAAAGCCCGCGGCCCAACCGCGGGACUGCAUUGGGAACUGGCGCGCUGGAGUGCCGGCG